rnacentral:rRNA from 1 species
UACGUAGGGUGCAAGCGUUGUCCGGAAUUAUUGGGCGUAAAGAGCUCGUAGGCGGUCAGUCGCGUCUGCUGUGAAAACUCGGGGCUUAACUCCGGGCCUGCAGUGGGUACGGGCUGACUAGAGUGCGGUAGGGGAGACUGGAAUUCCUGGUGUAGCGGUGAAAUGCGCAGAUAUCAGGAGGAACACCGGUGGCGAAGGCGGUGGUCUGGGCCGGUACUGACGCUGAGGAGCGAAAGCGUGGGGAGCGAACAGG